CUGCUUUCCACCAAAUGGAACUUAGGAAAGCUCCAAAAAAUCCUGACUCAACCAUUUUCAAAAGGAGCAGGUCCCACCCACACCCCUGAGAAGCUACUGAUUCCUUCUAAAUACCUCUGACUGAGUUGAGUGAAAGCAUCAAUAUCCACGAAGCACUAUGCUAGAAAUGAGGACAGCAAAGUCAUGAACAGAGAUACAGUGUAAGGCUCCACUGACAUGGGCAUGCAGACCGUUUUGCUUUCCAAAGAAAACUGAAGACCAGCGCCUCUCCGGAAAUCCUUCAGACUUUCAGUAGCAGCUUGGGACUGCUGAGGCAUCCAGGUUUGUGACGAGAACCCUAAUACAGGCCUAUGAGAAAGCUACACAUUGUUUUUAACAAGAAACACAGCCCAUUUCUAACACCAUUGCCACAAAGGCACUCUUCUGAAAUCCUUCCUGAGCAAUCCUGAACUUUGAAAA
rnacentral:sRNA from 1 species